GAUGAACGCUAGCUACAGGCUUAACACAUGCAAGUCGAGGGGCAGCAUGGUCUUAGCUUGCUAAGGCCGAUGGCGACCGGCGCACGGGUGAGUAACACGUAUCCAACCUGCCGUCUACUCUUGGACAGCCUUCUGAAAGGAAGAUUAAUACAAGAUGGCAUCAUGAGUCCGCAUGUUCACAUGAUUAAAGGUAUUCCGGUAGACGAUGGGGAUGCGUUCCAUUAGAUAGUAGGCGGGGUAACGGCCCACCUAGUCUUCGAUGGAUAGGGGUUCUGAGAGGAAGGUCCCCCACAAUGGAACUGAGACACGGUCCAAACUCCUACGGGAGGCAGCAGUGAGGAAUAUUGGUCAAUGGGCGAUAGCCUGAACCAGCCAAGUAGCGUGAAGGAUGACUGCCCUAUGGGUUGUAAACUUCUUUUAUAAAGGAAUAAAGUCGGGUAUGGAUACCCGUUUGCAUGUACUUUAUGAAUAAGGAGCGGCUAACUCCGUG
rnacentral:rRNA from 1 species